CCGCAGCCGGCGCGGGCGCCGCCGCCGCCGACCGGCCGCACGUCCUCCGAUACGAGUACCUGGCGCAGCCGUGCGGGUUCCCGGGCCGACAAUUCCCGCUGUCGGAGCGUCAGUGGAAGGAGCUGCUGUCGGCCGCAGACAGCGGCGUCCGAUCCCCGCCGGCGUGGCGGUCGCCGGUCUUGCUGGCGGGCAGCAGCACGGAGUCGGCGCCGGAGACGGAGGAGCAGCGACCGCCGCAGUAGCCCAGUUCACUCAUCACACCUCAUCAUCGACUCAUGCAUCCAUCGCGCGCGCCGCUCGGUCCGGUCCGGUCCGGUCUCACUCACACACUCCUCCAGUACCUGUCGGCGGCCCCGGGGCGCCUGUACAUAUAGUGGCGCCGCUGCGUCUUUUUAUUCAUCUAGUUCACUGCUGCGAUAGCGUCCGCACGGCGGGCGGCGACCGGUCAUGCGUGUGCCCGCGUGCGUAUGCGUGCGUGUGUGUGUAUCUGUGCGUGUGAUUGCAUGGGGCCGCGGCGCCGACCGGAUGGCGUAUUUGUUUGAGCCUGGGUCGGCGGCGCGGGGCAGGCAGAGCGUGACCCACAGGCUCGGCCGGCCCCGGCCCCGCAUCGCCCGCUCGGUAGACGUGCGUUCCGUUGGUACGCCGCGCGUAGCCGCUGCAGCCCAGAGCGCGGCGAACACAUUAAUAAACGUUGCGACAAGAUG